rnacentral:tRNA from 1 species
GGUUCCAUGGUGUAGUGGUUAGCACUCUGGACUUUGAAUCCAGCGACCUGGGUUUGACCCCCGGUGGGACCU